GCAAAAAGUCAUUCAGUGCCUUUGUAAAUAUUACAAUAAAUAUAAACUAUAAUAGCUUAAUAAAAUCUUUAAAUGUCCCUUUCGUGAAUUUUUGAGUUGGAUAUGCCAACAUAAAUGUCUAAAAAUCAAACAGUGACUAUUGUUUAAAUUCACAAUGAAUAUUUAAGUCAUUUUCACAGAAAGAAAAUUGUAUGUGAUUUGCCAACUAUAUUUUCUGGAUAUACUCAAUAUUUUCAGUGAACUUCAGUUAAAAUGUUUGUGAAUUCAGUAAUCAUUCUAUUCAGUGUAAAAAAAAAAAUACAGUAAUUAGCCACUCCCAAUCAUAAUACUUUAUCUUUAACAAAAAAAAAAAAAGAGUUAUUUUGUUUUUUUCUGGUUGUAACAUUUUUGAAACAUGUAAAAAAUGAACACACCUAAUACCGUCUAAAUAUGCAAAAUAGAUUAAAAUAAAUAAAUGUAUACCAUGUCUUUAAUUGGAAGUGAUUUUCAAGGUACACAGUACAUGCAGGGAAAGAGGGAAAGGGAAUUACAUGCAGUAGAAGUGUAAAGCCGGGAGUCGAACCGCUGACUGACGGCUCCGGACGUGUCCAGCAUUUUUCAAACCGGUACGUUCAGCUAUACGGGAUCACGUGGACAACGUUCAACGCGCGCAAACACAGGUCCUAAUGGGAAGUGGUAUCUGCACAACUUCUGCACCCAGCCGAGAAACUCCGCGACGAGAAGAACUGCUUGCUAAUCUUGCACCAGCACUGCUAAAGAAGGGGAGCUGAACCAAGAUUGUGGAGGUGACCACGGAUGGGAUGGCACUGUAAGCUCUGCACAUUUGCAGAUUCAUCAAAAGGAGGACUUCUCAAGCACUAUCGACUGACUCACGAAUGGAAUCCCCAUUCAGCGAACACGAGAGAUCAUCAUCCAGUGUCUCAUUGAUCAUCUGGGAGAAGAUGCAAGUGCCUUGAUCAAGGAGUUUGAGGUGGUCGCUGAUGCUCCUGACGGUUUAGAAAAGGAGUUGGCAGAGGAGGUCAUGAAGAUUUACAUGGUGCAGAACCCGGGACAAUCAGAUGAUGCACCUACUGAUGUAGGGAUUGUAAUUGAGGGCAUCAUUGUCCUCUGCAGUCUUGGGGAUCUCAGCAGAGCCUGCUGCUAUCUGUUGGGACUGACCUAUGCCUUGGAUCUGAGAUACCCUCGGAAUCUCAAAUACAGUUUUGAGGUGUUCCAAAAAGUGCUACUGGAGCUGGAUCCUGGAAACCUUUCAACCAAGGUUCAAAGACUGAAAAAUUACCUGUGUACUUAGUUGUUGACUACUGUUCAAUGAGAUGCUCUCACUAAUCUGGAUUUUGUCCAUUUUCAAGGUGUUCAUGUCUUAAAGUUUUAGUGAAAUACUGUAUUAAUCCUAAGAUAACAUGUAGGAAAAGUGUAAGUGAGGGCAAACAGUGAAAACUUAUAGGUUGUCUUGCUUGUUGUAAGCAUCAAACUUUUUCAAACUGUCAGUAGUUUCCUGAUGGACAGGAGAAACCAGGUGCGAAUUAUUGUUAUUGGUCCCUUGAUUUUGUUUUAUGAUCUUACAUUUCCCACUUUGUUUAAGAACUACUUGAUUUGAGAAAGGGUGAGAAGGACAGGAUAUUAAUUUACUCAGUACUUGACAAAAAGAUGUUUUUUUUCACUCCAAGUGAUCUGUUCCAAAACUUGCAUCAGAAUGUAGAAAUGUGCUCUUUGGUGUUUUAACAUGAUGGUAUAGGCCUGCCCAGUUAGCGCCACGGGGAAAUAACUGGUAGUUAGCAAUAGAGGUAGUUAUUGUUGAUGUUAAGUGUCACUUAAUGUAUUUCAGCCAUGUGCAGAGCUCAGUUCAGCCUGUUGCUCUUGAACCAAAAGCAUUUUUUUACCUGCACUUUGGCAACAGUGAGUGUUUUACCCAUGUUUUAGAUGCCGCUGGCUAGUAUGAGUUUUCAGUGCACUGUUUUCAUACUGUGGAUAUUGUUACAUAUGUGAUUUGGAAAGCAAACCAGGGUGACUACAGAUGCUAUUUCAUGUGUUACAUUAGUCAUUUCUGAACAAAUAAAGAUUUACAGUGGUUUUACUGUUAA